rnacentral:lncRNA from 1 species
AGAACAACAAAUUGCGGUGUCGCGGGUUAUUAUGUGUGGGUGAGAGAGAGGACGGAGAUGAGAGAGAAACAAAUUGGAUAAGUGAAGAAGGUGGAUUAGGCUUAGGUGAGUGUUUCUGAUUUUUUCAGUUGGGGUACUGAAUGGAUGACAAAGAGAAUGUUAUAGUGAUGAAAGAAAAAAUGUUGAGAACGAUGAGGAUGAAAGAGGGGUGAGUACGGGUUUCAGGAUUUCUUGUUUUAUUUUUUUUAGUUGUGAAAAUGAAAAUUUUUCAAAUACCCUUAACCUUAAAACUUAGAAUAUAUGAGGAUAUUUUUAUCUACUAAAACUCAAUAUACUUUACUAAAAUAUACCUAACUAAAAAAAGAACUUAUCUUAGCAAAUAUAUAUAU